UAAUAUACUAAUUAGUUAUUACUUAUAUUACUUAUUUGUAGGAAUUAUCAAUACCGUCCAGUUCAGGCAGUUCACAUUUACCAACAAACAGUGAAAACAAGUUGGAAGAUAUAAUUUUACUGAAGCCAGAUAUUGGAUUUUACAUUGGAAAAACAAACAUUGAUGAUUACA